rnacentral:rRNA from 1 species
ACACUUUCAGUAGGGAGGAAGGUAGUGUAGUUAACUACCUGCAUUAUUUGACGUUACCUACAGAAAGAAGCACCGGCUAACUCCGUGCCAGCAGCCGCGGUAAUACGGAGGGUGCGAGCGUUAAUCGGAAUUACUGGGCGUAAAGCGCAUGCAGGCGGCCUGUUAAGUCAGAUGUGAAAGCCCGGGGCUUAACCUCGGAAUUGCAUUUGAAACUGGCAGGCUAGAGUCUUGUAGAGGGGGGUAGGAAUUUCAGGUGUAGCGGUGAAAUGCGUAGAGAUCUGAAGGAAUACCAGUGGCGAAGGCGGCCCCCUGGACAAAGACUGACGCUCAGAUGCGAAAGCGUGGGGAGCAAACAGGAUUAGAUACCCUGGUAG